rnacentral:lncRNA from 1 species
AUACUUGACAAAGAAACAAAAUCCCAUAGGUCUGGUGGACGAACACAAGGAACACAGAAAAAAUUAAAAUUUAUGCACCACACCCGAAACACAACUUUAAAAGCUCACAUUAACAUCCGGGAGGUAUAACAAACCACAACAACAACCCAUUAUAAUCCUACACAGUAGGGUCUAGGAAGGAUAGUAUGUACGUAGAUCUUAUCUCUAUCCUGGGGUAGAGAGGUUGUUUCCAAA